rnacentral:rRNA from 1 species
UACGUAGGUGGCAAGCGAUGUCCGGAUUUAUUGGGCGUAAAGCGAGCGCAGGCGGUUGCUUAGGUCUGAUGUGAAAGCCUUCGGCUUAACCGAAGAAGUGCAUCGGAAACCGGGCAACUUGAGUGCAGAAGAGGACAGUGGAACUCCAUGUGUAGCGGUGAAAUGCGUAGAUAUUAGGAGGAACACCAGUGGCGAAGGCGGCCUGCUGGACAGAAACUGACGUUGAGGCUCGAAAGCGUGGGGAGCAAACAGG